GAUGAUGGAUGAGAUUCCAUGGAUAGAGAGCCAGUUCCAAUAGACUUAUGGAAUGUUCCCUCCCCCCCAGGGGCCCAGGUAUCAUAUACACCGCCAAAAUAAAGAGCCUUGAGUACUAGAAGAAAAGCACCUAGACCUAACAAAAUUAAGUGAAUACCCAAAAUUGUAGUCAUUUUAUUUCUAUCUUUCCA
rnacentral:antisense_RNA from 1 species